UUACGGACAUAUCACGUUGAAACACCAGUUCCCGUACAAUCACUGAAGUUAAGCAACAUCGAACCUGGUUAAUACCUAGAUGGGUGACCGUUUGAGAAUACCAGGUGCUGUAA